rnacentral:lncRNA from 1 species
ACACAAACUCAUAACUCAGGCAUAACCUAAACAGGCUAUCCUACUACUGUCUAAUCAGCACUACCAUGCAGCUCAAAAGCACAAAUAACAGGCUCAUAAGGCAUCAUCCCUAGAUCCUUAGUCCUAUUCUUGCGUGCUUUUCUAUCAACUGAUAAUCAUAACAUAAACUUGUAUGGGUAUUUUGGGGUACAUACUUGAGCUCGGUUGAUUGCAUGCACCACACCUCUUUUCUCUUUUCAAAGUUCUUUUCUUUCUGAAUUCCUUUUUCUUUUCUAAAACUGUUUUUCGUUCUCAAAAUUCUUUUUAAAAAACUGUCUUUUCAUUUUUGAAAACUGUUUAUCCGACCCCUCAGUUUGAGUUCAGGCACACCCGAGAGUAUGCCCGAAUCCCUCAAACCAAGGCUCUGAUACCAACUUGUAACGUCCCAAAAUUAAAGACUAAAAAUUUCUUUUAAUAAAACCUUACUUUAAGCAAAUUCAUCAUUAAAAAACAUAAGCAACGUAUUAGUUUCCAAAAUACAUGUUCAUUAUCAGAGUAAACAUUCCUAGGCUGACAAAUCUAUGGUGUGUGCCAUGCGAUCACCCCGAGCACCUCCCUCCGCUACCGGAAAUACCUAAAAACAAAACUGAAAACCGUAAGCACGAAGCUUAGUGAGUUCCCCACCCUACCACAUACCAUGCAUAACCACAUACUGCACAUACUGGGCCACGCCCGCUAUCCUGGGCCUCGCCCCCUACCUCGGGCCUCGCCCGCUACAACGGCCCCGCCGCUCCAGGCCCCGCCUGGCUUCGAGCCCCGCUCGGAUACAGAUCUGUUUCACUUAGGCCUCGCCUGUCACAGGGCCCCGCCCACUAACAUAUAAUAGCACACACUCAUAUCACAUAAGCUAAACAUAUACUAACAUCUCUUGCUCUAAGGCCUCGCCUAUCUCUGGGCCCCGCCCGUGUCCUGCUACGGAAGAGUCAUGGAACCUCGUCCAUACUCCUGCUAAUAAUGAGAUACGGGCCCAGCCCACCCUCACUCCUUUACUAACUUGGGCCCUGCCCCUGGACUGCUGCUACUGAGAUGUGGAACACCAUCCACACUCUGCUAUUCGUGAGAUACGGGACCUCGCCCACACUCACCUCCCUACCAGGCACAUACAAGUAUCACACAGACAACAAGUAUAAACUAUCGCAUAAACCAUUCCUUGGGCACCCGCCCUCUAUCAUUGGACCUCGUCCGAAUAUCAUACUAGCAUACUGUGCCUAGGGCUAACCCCCGGGUCUUCUACUCAUAACUACAUGGGCCGGCAUUGUGGCCGUAGACCCAUUCAUACAAAGGGAAACUCACCUGCACUGGCUGAACUUGCUGAUGAUCCCACUAGCUGUCGUCCGACCACUCACUGAACUCCUGCUCUACUUGCUCCUCAAGCUAUCAAUAUCAAUGCAAUACUUAGUCUAACUGACCCCCGACAGUUAACCAAGUCAAUUCUGGUCUAAGACAAUGUCCUGGUCAAAGUCAACCUUUCCAGGUCAACCCUACUCGCCGAGUCCACUUACUGACUCGCCGAGUUCAUAUACUCAGGGUCUUUCCAUUCGCGACACGACUCGCCGAGUCAGUCCAUGACUCGCCGAGUCUAACGAUUUCCGAGUCCUGACCUGUCCAACUCGUUGAGUCUCCAACCGACUCACUGAUUCGAGUCUCAACUCAAAGGGUUUGGUGUUUCACGACCAUACUCGCCGAGUCCAAGAACAGACUCGCCGAGUACAAGGAAAUCUUCAUCCAACUCACCGAGUGCAUGCCCAACAUCAUCCGACUCGACGAGCUGUUCAUCCCACUCGUCGAGUUCCUCCUCAUCUUCAUGGUACUCGCCGAGUCCACUCAAAGGACUCGCCGAGUUCAUUCAGAUCUCCAAACAUGCAGAGGACUUUUGAGUCAUGCAGGGACUCCAAACCAUAGAUCCAUACAUCCAAAGCUCAAUCCCUACGUAAAGUUGAAAACUUUACGUAUAACUUAAGAGAUCUAGGCUCAAAACAUACUAGGGUUUGGUUUAAGGACAAAAGGGCUACACCAAGUACUCAUCUCCUGAUGCUUUAUGAUAUAUUGGAGCAUCCCAACAAUAGAUCUGAAGUGGCAACAACAUAUCUAAGCUCUUAACCCGAUUUGGGUCUCAAUCAACCAUAAAACCCCCAAAUCUCAUAACAAAAUAGAUCUAGAUGCAAAGAAGGGAAAAUGGCAGCUUAAUACCUCCAAGAUGAACACAAACUGAAGUAGAUCUCGAGCACACACCUCUUCUUUAAAGCAACCUUCUUGAUUUUCAAGUUCCUUUCCAAAGUUUCCUUCCUCCAAAGCUAUUUCUCUCAAAUGAUGGAAGCUCACACGAAAUAUAGGGUUUACAGGUUCUCUGGGAUGAUAUGGGGGCUGAGGGAGGGACAUAACACCCUUUAUAUAGGAUACAACUCCCGGAAUUAGGGUUUUCCUCGCAAAGACCAGACUCGCCGAGUCACCUUGGCCGACUCGCCGAGUCGGUUGCUUACUCCUCGACCUGGAUCCCGCUCUGACUCGCCGAGUUCCUCCUUGGGCUCGCCGAGUCGCCCCUUAACAUUAAGGUUUUCUUUCCUUUCUUGGCCUUCAAAACUUUGGGUGUUACAACUCUCCCCCACUUAAACUAAACUUUGUCCUCGAAGUUUGCCAUGGCCCACCGCCUGCGAUCUGUCUCCAAUACCCCACCAAUUAUUCCAACAGGAGCUACCUACCUUCGCUGGUCUUCCACUUGGUCAUUCUGACUAGCAUCACUCCUUGCGGAUAAUCAUCUCGGGUCAAUCCUGACCCUGAACAUUCUGGAGACACAACUUACCCAACCGUCAAUCCUUCUGGUACUCUCUGAGUACUGUAUUGAACCCAUAUGGGGUUCACUCCCUUCUUUCCUCACGCGAUUCCCUUGCCUUCCCAAGGCGAUACUCCAAAAUCAACUAUUUCCUCUGUCACUGUGAAGAUCCUAUCUUCACCAAUCCAUUAUUCCCGCUAAAUCCAGUACAGGUCAUCACCGCCAGUAACCACUGACACUCCUCCCUUGUCAUAACUUGGUGUCGAGCACCCCUCGACUCAGCGAACUGGAUUCCACCAUAACCCGCUCUCCUGCACUACUACUGACUAGAUAUUUCUGCCAUUCCUCAUCUGCCUUCCGGAUGAACUGAGACCACUCUGGUCCCUACCAACCUGUCAAUAUUUGGAUUAUCGGCUCCCACCGGUAGCUAGUCCCACACCAUCACUAGUCGCUCUCAGCGACUUCCAAAGAAACCUCGACCACCUAUAACUGCUCAAUCAAUUCUGCCAUUCAAGCACUACAAACCUGGGAUCCCCGAUCCCCUAACUUGACACUAAGGUCCUUACCAGGUUCCACCUGCGCUGCUAAAACUCACGGGCCUCGCCCACGGGUCCCACCCGCCUCUAUCCUUCUAGUCCCACUAGUCUAUUCACUCUCGCUCGGGCCUCGCCCACGGGGCCCACCCAACCAUACUACUAAGCAACCCUGCUCCUAGGUCUCAUCUACACUGCUAAUCUCAUACGGGCCUCGCCCACGGGUCUCACCCAACGAUAUCUUGGAGCGGCCUCUCCCAAGGUCUCACCUCGCUAGGGCUAUACAGGCAACUCACUAUCAUUCUCAUCCACUACCCAUCCUGAUCCCCAUCAGAUCACUAGGAAAUAAGGGCCUCGACCCAACUCCACGAACGAAGCGACUAAGGAAUGCUACGGCUUACCCAUAGCCUUACAUCACCAUCCAUUGCUGACUGCUAGUGAAUGCUACGGCUGCCCCGUAGUCUUACAACACUUCCACCACUGACUGCUAGUGAAUGCUACGGCUGCCCCGUAGUCUCACAUCACUUCCUACCACUGACUGCCGACACGAAGGCACCCAUGUGCCAUAAGCUCUCAAGAUCCUCAUUCUGACUCCCUCGAGUCCUACGGGCGAUCCACAACCUGAAUUUCCCAAUCACACAUUAACUAUUACCAAUACAUGCACUAACUGGUGGGGAGUUCUCAAACUCCAACCCUGAAUCCUUAAACCAUCAAACGCUGAACUACUUCUUUUCCAUCUCGGAGGUCGCACACUCAUUCUGGGUCUGCGUGCUCCUACCUUUGCACACUCGGAGGAUUCUCCCCCACUUCGAUCCUGCUUAGCCCUUAAUGAUAAAUGCUCAAAGAGAAAACCCAAUCCUUGCUACCAUUCCAUAAUCAAUCUGCUGAGGAACCCAAGCUUACCAUAGCUAGGGAUCUAACCAAUCCAUCUCUGACACUACAUGACCCAGAUCUAGCGAAACAUACCAAGUCCCUCCCAAGCAUACUACAGUUACUGCAUCCUAUGUAAGCUUCUCCAAUAGGGCACAUCCCCUCACUACCAUUCGAAUAACCAAGGUAUGCAGAUGUCAUAUAACUCGACCACAAUCAACCGCACAUAAAUAAAAUACUCAUACCGAUAAUGAUGCAGAACCAUAACAAUAUAAUCAUACACAAAUAAAAGAAUUGAACAUGAAAAUUCCACACCUGUAACGUCCGGCGUUGCCCGUGUCUCCAAGGUCGUCAUCUGAAAAGCCCUGCUCCCUGCUGCAGGUGCCUCUACCCGGCCCUGACGGCCAUCCGUGAUCCUCAAGGUUGCAGGGGCGGGUGCCAUCACCCGUCCUGCCGAAGACAAACUGGGGCACUGGGCCUUCUUGUGGCCCCGCUGGUUGCAAUGAAAACAUAUCAAGUCUGAUCCCUGNCGACUGCGGUCCUGAUGAUCCCUCGAUCUCAAAUCCGAUCCCUUGGGCCUUUUGCCCGAACCCGCAGCUACCUGAACCUCAUCCGGCUUCCUCUUCCGGAUUUGCUCCAAAUCAAUUUCCCUUUCUCUAGCCCGGGAAAUCAUAUCAUCCAGCGUCUUACAGCUGGAUCUGCUCACGAACUCCCUGAUGUCAUCCCUCAACAUCUCAUGGUACCGAGCCUUCUUCAUCUCCUCAUUCGCGACAUACUGCGGUACAAGAAGAGCCCUCUCCCCGAACUUGGCGGUGAUCUCCGCCACAGUCUCAAUAGUCUGCGUCAAAUCCUGAAACUCUCGUGCCAACUGCUGCACCUCAAUCAUCGGCAAAAACUCCGCCCUGAACCUGGCUGAGAAAUCACUCCAAGUCAUCGCGUCCAACGCAGCAUCAUCCCCCAAAGCAUGACCAAUCUCCUCCCACCAAUCCCUUGCUCUGUCCUUCAGAAGACAGGAAGCGAGUCUGACCUUGUCCCCCUCGGGACACUUGCUCGUACGAAAAGCGUUGGCAAUAUCGGCCAACCAUCUGCUGCUAGCAAUGGGGUCUCUAGCCCCAUGAUAAUCUGGUGCUUCGCAAGCCCUGAAAUCACGAAAUGUCAAGGUAUGCGCUCCUAUCAAGGCCAUCAUCUCAGUACGGAAGGCUUCCAGCCUCUCAUCCAACAUCUCCAAUAUACCCUCCUUGACCGUGCCAAAGAUCACAGGAGUCUGAGCUAGAAUACUGCGCGUAACCUCAGCUGAUAUCAACUCUCUCAUCCGCUCAUCGAGCUGCUCGGUCCCUGAACCUGAGCCUGAUCCCUCUCCGGCGACUGAUCCGCCCACUGGUCUCUCUCGCAAUGUCACCAUGUUGAAAAUAUACCACAACCACUAUCAGAAUACUCAUCACUGAUGCAAGACCCAACAUACCGUACCAGGUUCCCGGUCUUGUCUCGGCCUUUCCCGAAUCGAGUACGGAUCCUCUGCUUUCAAUAGUACGGGCCCAUACUACCUUCCACAUCUAUCCGUACUUUCCUCAGGAAUUGGUUCGACUCCACCAGGUCCCUUUUUCCCAUUACUACUGCUCCCAGCACUACCUCAUCCUAGGAUUACCCUAGGGAAACCUCUGACUCAACUCAAACGAGUCCUCAGCUGCCGAAGGUCUCCUUAUGAUGCCAAUUAGCCAUCACCUGGAUACCAUCACAUGUGACGAGGCUCAGAUAAUCCUUCAAGUAAAAGACUCGUCCCUACAACGGUUGGACUCAAACGAGAGCUGCGAAAUAGGGUCAAAUCCAGCACUCUGAGAUUAUUCAACCCUGAUCACAUGUGACGUGGCGUAUCCACCUAAUAGCUAACUCCCAUCACUCAAAAUCCCAUAAUGCACAAAGCAAGCAGCAUUCGAACAAGGGAAAAUCUAACCAUAAAUUACUCAAGCAAUCAUAUACACAUAGCAAGAAUCUAAACUAGCAUGAAACACAAACUCAUAACUCAGGCAUAACCUAAACAGGCUAUCCUACUACUGUCUAAUCAGCACUACUAUGCAGCUCAAAAGCACAAAUAACAGGCACAUAAGGCAUCAUCCCUAGAUCCUUAGUCCUAUUCUAGCAUGCUGUUCUAUCAACUGAUAAUCAUAACAUAAACUUGUAUGGGUAUUUUGGGGUACUUACUUGAGCUCGGUUGAUUGCAUGCACCA